rnacentral:rRNA from 1 species
UACAGAGGUCUCAAGCGUUGUUCGGAUUUAUUGGGCGUAAAGAGCUCGUAGGCGGUUUGUCGCGUCUGCUGUGAAAACUCAGGGCUUAACUCUGAGCUUGCAGUGGGUACGGGCAGACUAGAGUGCGGUAGGGGAGACUGGAAUUCCUGGUGUAGCGGUGAAAUGCGCAGAUAUCAGGAGGAACACCGGUGGCGAAGGCGGGUCUCUGGGCCGUAACUGACGCUGAGGAGCGAAAGCAUGGGGAGCGAACAGG